rnacentral:rRNA from 1 species
UACGGAGGGUGCGAGCGUUGUCCGGAAUCAUUGGGCGUAAAGGGCGCGCAGGCGGUCUGUUAAGUCUGUGGUGAAAGACCGGGGCUCAACCCCGGAGUGUCCGCAGAGACUGGCGGACUGGAGUAUCGGAGAGGAGUGCGGAAUACCUGGUGUAGCGGUGGAAUGCGUAGAGAUCAGGUGGAACACCGAUGGCGAAGGCAGCACUCUGGCCGAGUUACUGACGCUGAGGCGCGAAAGCUGGAGGAGCGAACGGG